AUUUCCUCCAGGCAACAAUGUGCUCCUGAUAUGAAAGCUGACAUUAGAACUGGUAACAAAGGAGCAGGAGCUGGUGUAAUACACAGGGGUAUCGCCCCUGGAACUCAAGAGUCCAACAGAUGCAAUUACAAAGCAGAAGGUGCAGGAGUCUGCCUACUCUGUGGAAAUGAGGUGACGCCUUCAUCACAGCCAGGAGCCAGGCUGAAAAUUAUUGUCUCUGAGACAGCACAAAACUCAGACUGCAGAAAGUUCUUUUUUUGGACAACUUCAAAGCUGAACUUUGUAUUUGAGAGAUGGAAGCAUGCAACUAAAUGCAUCUGCAUAUACGCUGCCUCACUUUAUCUGGGGAGUAACAAACCGGGUGACAGAAACAAUGCACUGGCUUAAAAAUGAUGAACUUCUUUUUUUCUUUUUCUUAUUAAAACAGAGUUCAAGAGAGGCUGUCGACACCUCGUCAUUCUGGAACAGUUCAGUGUACAUCUAAGCCUAUAAAAAGGGAAUUCAUGACCAGCUGUUAGUCCCUCUGAGAAGAUGAUGUCAACCUCUGCUAUGAUGCUCAUUGUUCGAUAGUGUGAGACAGCUAUCCCAUAUGCAGGUGAUUUCUCAGGGCAGUUUCUUCACUCUCCAGCUAGGAACAGAUGAUCUCAGGCUUCAGGUUCUAAGCCUCCACCAACCACAGAAAGAUCUCUUGAAUAUCUUCUCCAACCAGAUGGAUAUUCACGGAUGCAUUCAUGCAGCUGAAAGAAGGCCCUCCUUCUAGAUGGAUGAACACAAUAUUCAUCCAAAAUUCAGAGCUCACACCCCACCUCCUCCUACUUCUGUUUCUCAAGAACAUCAGUGUUUCCAAAAUUCUGGUCACUUUUUUCUUUAGGAUUGUUUUCAGGACAUUGCAUUCCCCUGAGCCAACAGACUCCCUCAUUCCUUUCAGUUUUGCUCUAUUUGUUCA
ensembl:lncRNA